UGCAUAAAAAGUACAGACUCGGAUUUCCUGAUCAACUGAGGAAGCUGCAUCUGUUGCAGCGUCCCAGCUUACAGGUUACUUCUAUGAUCCAUGCUUCAUUUUUCUAAAAACAUUUUCUAGCUGAAAUGAAGCAUGAUUCUUUAGGAUUCUUUGUAUUUUUUUUUUUUCUGGGAUUCUAUUGAUUUGAAUUUCUUAUACUGCUUGUAAUUUCUGGGAAACAACAGUGACUUUUCUGAGUAUUUUCUUUUGUCAUUUUCUUUGUUGACCAGUUGUUUGAUGCCGGAAUUCUUUGAUUGUUGAAUUCUUUUUCCCAUCGGAAGCAGCCUGAUUCCUCUGUUGGUUUUGGCUUGGUGAUGAUCACAUUAUUUUAAUUACUCCACUGAAGCUGCAUCAUCUUUAUUCCAUC
rnacentral:lncRNA from 1 species